rnacentral:snRNA from 1 species
AUGCUCACAUCGGCAGCACAUAUACUAAAAUUGGAACAACGCAGAGAAGAUUAGCAUGGCCCCUGCGCAAGGAUGACACACUUGAAGCGUUCCAAGUGCUG